rnacentral:rRNA from 1 species
UGGGGAAUAUUGCACAAUGGGCGCAAGCCUGAUGCAGCCAUGCCGCGUGUAUGAAGAAGGCCUUCGGGUUGUAAAGUACUUUCAGUCGGGAGGAAGGUGGUAAGGUUAAUAACCUUAUCAAUUGACGUUACCGACAGAAGAAGCACCGGCUAACUCCGUGCCAGCAGCCGCGGUAAUACGGAGGGUGCAAGCGUUAAUCGGAAUUACUGGGCGUAAAGCGCACGCAGGCGGUUGAUUGAGUCAGAUGUGAAAUCCCCGGGCUUAACCCGAGAACUGCAUCUGUUACUGACCAGCUAGAGUCAUGUAGAGGGGGGUAGAAUUCCAUGUAUAGCGGUGAAAUGCGUAGAGAUGUGGGGGAAUACCGGUGGCUAAGGCGGCCCCCUGGACAAAGACUGACGCUCAGGUGCGAAAGCGUGGGGAGCAAACAGG